AUUGAACGCUGGCGGCAGGCCUAACCCAUGCAAGUCGAACGAGUGGCGGACGGGUGAGUAAUGUCUGGGAAACUUCCUGUUGGAGGGGGAUAACUACUGGAAACGGUAGCUAAUACCGCAUACCAUCAGAUUUUCCCAUAUGGGAUUAGCUUGUUGGUGGGGUACCCGCUCUCCAACGCGACGAUCCCUAGCUGGGCUGAGAGGAUGACCAGCCACACUGGAACUUAGACACGGUCCAGACGCCUACGGGAGGCAGCAGUGGGGAAUAUUGCACAAUGGGCGCAAGCCUGAUGCAGCCAUGCCGCGUGUAUGAAGAAGGCCUUCGGGUUGUAAAGUACUUUCAGCGGGGAGGCGUUACCCGCAGAAGAAGCACCGGAGAAGUACGAGCCAGCAGCCGCGGUAAUUC
rnacentral:rRNA from 1 species